rnacentral:rRNA from 1 species
CCUACGGGUGGCAGCAGUGAGGAAUAUUGGUCAAUGGACGAGAGUCUGAACCAGCCAAGUAGCGUGAAGGAUGACUGCCCCAUGGGUUGUAAACUUCUUUUAUAUGGGAAUAAAAUGUUCCACGUGUGGGAUUUUGUAUGUACCAUAUGAAUAAGGAUCGGCUAACUCCGUGCCAGCAGCCGCGGUAAUACGGAGGAUCCGAGCGUUAUCCGGAUUUAUUGGGUUUAAAGGGAGCGUAGGUGGAUUGUUAAGUCAGUUGUGAAAGUUUGCGGCUCAACCGUAAAAUUGCAGUUGAAACUGGCAGUCUUGAGUACAGUAGAGGUGGGCGGAAUUCGUGGUGUAGCGGUGAAAUGCUUAGAUAUCACGAAGAACUCCGAUUGCGAAGGCAGUUCACUGGACUGCAACUGACACUGAGGCUCGAAAGUGUGGGUAUCAAACAGGAUUAGAUACCCUAGUAGUC